UGUGUUCAUCAUCCAAACUCUUCUUUUUCUCAUCAUCCAA
rnacentral:sRNA from 1 species